AGUCAUCCUUCUCCCAGCCGUAGUGCUCGUACGUUACAUUCACUGUCAGGGUUCCAUCGACAGGCUGGCCAAAGGUGUGUUGUGCGCAAACUUUUCACGUUU
rnacentral:lncRNA from 1 species